GGCUUCAUAGCUCAGCUGGUAGAGCAUUCGCCACAUUUGGGCAUGUUGCUUUUGUCGCUGGUUCGAAUCCAGUUGAAGUCC